UACGGGGGGUGCGAGCGUUGUCCGGAUUCACUGGGCGUAAAGGGCGCGUAGGCGGCCCGGUCAGUCGGGCCUGAAAGCCCGGGGCUCACCCCCGGGUCUGGGUCCGGGACGGCCGGGCUGGGCGGCGGUCGAGGGGGACGGAAUGCCGGGUGUAGUGGUGAAAUGCGUAGAGAUCCGGCGGAACACCGGUGGUGAAGACGGUCCCCUGGGCCGCGCGCGACGCUGAGGCGCGAGAGCGUGGGGAGCGAACCGG
rnacentral:misc_RNA from 1 species